rnacentral:rRNA from 1 species
UACGUAGAAGGCAAGCGUUGUCCGGAAUCAUUGGGCGUAAAGAGCGUGUAGGCGGCCUGGUAAGUCCGCUGUGAAAGUCCAGGGCUCAACCCUGGAAUGCCGGUAGAAACUGUCAGGCUCGAGUCCAGAAGAGGCGAGUGGAAUUCCUGGUGUAGCGGUGAAAAUGCGCAGAUAUCAGGAGGAACACCAAUGGCGAAGGCAGCUCGCUGGGACGGUACUGACGCUGAGACGCGAAAGCGUGGGGAGCAAACAGG